GACGAACGCUGGCGGCGUGCUUAACACAUGCAAGUCGAACGGAAAGGCCCUGCUUGUGGGGUGUGCUCGAGGGGCGAACGGGUGAGUAACACGGGAGUAACCUGCCCUUGACUUGGGGAUGACUGCGGGAAACGGGGGCUAAUACCGGAUAGGAGCUCCUGCUGCAGGGGGGUGGUUGGAAAUUUUUGGCGGUGAAGGAUGAGCGCGCUGCUUAUCAGCUUGUGGGUGGGGGAGUGGCCUACCAAGGCUUUGACGGGUAGCCGGCCUGAGAGGGUGGACGGGCACGUUGGGACUGGGAUACGGCCCAGACGCCUACGGGAGGCAGCAGUGGGGAAUAUUGCACAAUGGGCGCAAGCCUGAUGCAGCGACGCCGCGUGGGGGAUGACGGCCUUCGGGUUGUAAACUCCUUUCGCUAGGGACGAAGCUUUUUGUGACGGUACCUAGAUAAGAAGCACCGGCUAACUACGUG
rnacentral:rRNA from 1 species